AACAGGAUUAGAUACCCUGGUAGUCCACGCCCUAAACGAUGAUAACUCGAUGUUGGCGAUACACAGUCAGCGUCUAAGCGAAAGCAUUAAGUUAUCCACCUGGGAAGUACGACCGCAAGGUUGAAACUCAAAGGAAUUGACGGGGGCCCGCACAAGCGGAGGAGCAUGUGGUUUAAUUCGAUGAUACGCGAGGAACCUUACCUGGGCUUGAAAGUUAGUGACAGUCCCUGAAAGGGGAUCUUCCGCAAGGACGCGAAACUAGGUGCUGCAUGGCUGUCGUCAGCUCGUGCCGUGAGGUGCUGGGUUAAGUCCCGUAACGAGCGCAACCCCUAUCAUUAGUUGCCAUCAGGUUAAGCUGGGGACUCUAAUGAGACUGCCCGCGCAAGCGGUGAGGAAGGUGGGGAUGACGUCAAGUCAUCACGGCCCUUACGUCCAGGGCUACACACGUGCUACAAUGGUAGAUACAGCAGGUUGCCACAUGGUAACAUGGAGCUAAUCCCAAAAGUCUAUCUCAGUUCGGAUUGAGGUCUGCAACUCGACCUCAUGAAGCUGGAUUCGCUAGUAAUCGGAAAUCAGCAAUGUUCCGGUGAAUACGUUCCCGGGCCUUGUACACACCGCCCGUCAAGCCAUGGAAGUCGGGGGUACCUGAAGUCGAUAACCGUAAGGAGUCGCCUAGGGUAAAACCGAUGACUGGGGCUAAGUCGUAACAAGGUAACC
rnacentral:rRNA from 1 species